rnacentral:rRNA from 1 species
UGUGUAGGCGGUUGUUUAAGUUUGGUGUGAAAUCUCCCGGCUCAACUGGGAGGGUGCGCCGAAUACUGAAUGACUAGAGUGCGGGAGAGGAAAGUGGAAUUCCUGGUGUGGCGGUGAAAUGCGUAGAUAUCAGGAGGAACACCGGUGGUGUAGACGGCUUUCUGGACCGUAACUGACGCUGAAACACGAAAGCGUGGGUAGCAAACAGGAUUAGAUACCCUGGUAGUCCACGCCCUAAACGAUGCAUAUUUGGUGUGGGCAGUUCAUUCUGUCCGUGCCGGAGCUAACGCGUUAAAUAUGCCGCCUGGGGAGUACAGUCGCAAGGCUGAA